UGCCGCCAAGUCUGGGGCUGCUUUGUUUUUUUCCGGCACGUCGCCCGUAUUCACAUGUGACACUUUCUAGCGACGCGUAUACUAUCUCUACGCCUGCAUCCUUCGCAUGAGAUGUCGUUUGGAAACCGACGCAGCGUUCCUGACUCCAGAAAAACUUCCUUCGAAAACCUCCAUGUUUGAUUUGGCACGCCUAGAAUACAGCUACAGCCAUACCCCAGACGAAGCGAAAGUUGGAAGCAGCUACAUCACUAGUGCACUAGCGGGUAUCCAGAUGAAGCAAGGAGUGUUCAUGCUGUCCGUGUAUGCUCCUCGCAUUUCACCGAUAAUAUGUACCUGGAUGAGAACAUCAUGCAAGUGCAACUUGGAUUGACACAAAAAAGGAACGAAUUGAAACUUGACGCCGUUCCGACAGUGUUCCACGAACAAAGCGAGCCAGUAACUUCGACACUGCAGGCAGCUCGACAGGGUCAAGCGCAAGUGAAGGACCAGGUGCUGCUGAUCCAAGUCCCAUCCAUCCAUGAAACGGCAUCAAACU